GUCCUACAACUGCUUUAACUAAUAACAUUUUAAUUUAAUGCAUUUGAUAUUUCCAUAUUUAUUGGGUCCAAUCAUGUUUUACGAGGAGAGUGAACAUGGAAACUGAUGUAACUGAUAUUUAGUAUGUAUGCAUAGUAUACUUUCCUCAAGAGGUUCCCCUGCCAAGCAUAAAUAUAAAUACAAAUAAAUUAAACUCUUUGAUAGGCCUCCAGAGUGACCCAGUCUAGCUGAUGAAGUCAUCCCCUUCCCUCCACUUAAAGAAUUCUCUGAAAAAAUGAGUAAACAGAUUAGAACCAAAUCCCCUUGCAAAAUUGGGUUUCCUCUUUCAAGCUUACGAUUCUGGCUCCAUGCAGAGCCAUGUUAUUUGCCAAACAGAACCUGAAAGACCAUUCCAAUUCUGCUGCUUUCCAGCUGAUGGAGCGUCUUUGCUUGGAAGGAGGGAGAGUGAGAAGGAAAAGACUGUUGUAGCGUCCAAUCUGUCCAGCCUACUGGCAUCGGGAAGAAUCUGAUUUGCAAAGAGAAGGCUCUGGAUCUUGUAUCACAUCCAGACAGAGGCCAUUUGGGAGAAUGGAAGGAGAAGAUGCUCAGGUUCCAGAGAAUUUCAGUGAGCCUGGAGAGUGCACUGAGGUGGAGUUGCAAAUUCUCUGACCAGAUUUCAUUUUGUGAUUACGUAAGGCAACGGUGAGAAAAGGAUACUUCAUGCCAAUUAAACUGCAGUACUGUGUUUUCUAGUCACUUCACAUGUAACAAAUUUAUGUCUUCUCCACUCUGUGAUUUUUGUCUCCUUCAGAAUUAAAAUCCAUGCUCUUUUUCAUUUUCAAAAUGUGGGCACUUCUGGAAAAGAAAAGAAAAUCCAGCUCUUCUUUCACCCUCAUUGAGAAUCCUUUCUUGCUAUGGUCCAAAGAGAAAAGGGUUAAUGUCCCUGGAUGAGGUCAAGUCUGUGCUCAGCUUGCUAGGGCAGCUUUGGAGAAGGUCAGCUGAAAGGUGUCUAUGCAAAGUUUGUCAUUAAAUGACUUGGAGGAAGAAAAAGAAGAAAUCCAGAGAAGCAAAGAAAUUCCUAUUCCUGUCCACAAUUGCACAGAAGAGAACCUUCCCAAAUGUUCUCUGACAUUGCCAUCCCUCUCCCCCAUCUACACUACUCUUCUAGCACUAGUCUCUUUGGCUGUGCACUGUAGAGAAAUGGCGUAACGCUGCUUUUUGUUUUUUGCUGUCUUACCUUACAAAGGACUUCAUUUUUCUUCCUUUGGGUCAAAAGCUCCUAUUUUCAAUCUGAAUAAGCUGGCUGCUCAUCUUGCCCACUCAAUCAUGGGGCUGAUGCAGAGAAAGCAUUGUGUACACUGCAUCAUGUGCUGUGUUUUGUUUUUGUCUAAUUUAUUUUCAUGCUGGGUUCUAUUCAACAAUCUGAUGGAGUGAACAUCACUACCAAACUCUUUGAUUUGUGGAAAAAUAAUGGUAAACCUUGUAAGAGCCCAAAGGUUUUUUUUCCCCCAAUCUAUGCAUCUAUUACUGAUAUGAGGAAGUUUAUAGCUAUUCUUCCUUUCAAGUGAAGCCUUUCUGAGAUAAACCAUGAAACUUUAUUUGAAUAAUCCAAAUGAUUAAAUUAUUUUCCCUCCUGUUGUUGAUCUUUACAAAUUGAAGCAAUCUUCAUCCAAAC
rnacentral:lncRNA from 1 species